rnacentral:tRNA from 2 species
GGGGGUGUAGCUCAGCUGGGAGAGCACCUGCUUUGCACGCAGGGGGUCGUCGGUUCGAAUCCGGUCACCUCCACCA